GCUUACGUAGCUCAAUGGUAGAGCGGCGGUUUGCAAAACCGCAAGUAGGCGGUUCGAUUCCGCCCGUAAGCU
rnacentral:tRNA from 1 species